rnacentral:rRNA from 1 species
CCUACGGGAGGCAGCAGUGGGGAAUCUUGCGCAAUGGCCGAGAGGCUGACGCAGCGACGCCGCGUGGGGGAUGAAGCAUUUCGGUGUGUAAACCCCUGUUGCUCGGGACGAACGACCCUUUUCGAGGGGUGUGACGGUACCGAGUGAGGAAGCACCGGCUAACUCCGUGCCAGCAGCCGCGGUAAUACGGAGGGUGCGAGCGUUGUCCGGAAUCACUGGGCGUAAAGGGCGCGUAGGUGGUUGGAUGCGCCGGUGGUGAAAGCGCAGGGCUCAACCCUGCGUCGGCCAUCGGGACGGUCCGACUGGAGCACUGUAGAGGCAGGUGGAAUUCCGGGUGUAGCGGUGGAAUGCGUAGAGAUCCGGAAGAACACCGGUGGCGAAGGCGGCCUGCUGGGCAGUUGCUGACACUGAGGCGCGACAGCGUGGGGAGCAAACAGGAUUAGAUACCCUGGUAGUCCACGCCGUAAACGAUGGGCACUAGGUGCUUGGGGGAGCGACCCCCUGAGUGCCGACGCUAACGCAUUAAGUGCCCCGCCUGGGGAGUACGACCGCAAGGUUGAACUCAAAGGAAUUGACGG